rnacentral:rRNA from 1 species
GAUCCUGGCUCAGAACGAACGCUGGCGGCGUGCUAGGCAUGCAAGUCGAACGGCAAGAGGUAGCAAUACCUCCUAGAGUGGCGGACUGGUGAGUAACACGUGGGUGACAUACCCUUCAGAUGGGGAUAGCUAUUAGAAAUAGUAGAUAAUACCGAAUACGAGCACAGGGGUUAGAGAUCUGUGAGGAAAGGAGCUAAGGCUCCGCUGAAGGAAUGGCCUGCGGCCCAUUAGCUAGUUGGUGAGGUAAGAGCCCACCAAGGCGAUGAUGGGUAUCCGGCCUUAGAGGGUGAACGGACACAUUGGGACUGAGAUACGGCCCAGACUCCUACGGGAGGCAGCAGCUAAGAAUAUUCCGCAAUGGACGAAAGUCUGACGGAGCGACGCCGCGUGGAUGAAGAAGGCCGGAAGGUUGUAAAAUCCUUUUGAAACUGAAGAAUAAGCGUUGUAGGGAAUGACAGCGUGGUGACAGUAGGUUUUGAAUAAGCAACGGCUAAUUACGUGCCAGCCGCCGC